UGGCAUCACCAACUUAAUGCACAUGAGUCUGAGCAAACUCCGGGAGAUGGUGAAAGACAGAAAAGCCUGGUGUGCUGCAGUCCAAAGAGUUGGACACAACUUAGCGACUGAACAAAGAUAGAUGAAAGGAAGGGAGGAUGGGAAACCUCAGGUCACUCCCAUGACUCCAGCCCAGCUUACUGCUAAGAAGGACAGAGGCCACAGGAGAAAGAGCAGGUGACAUAUCUAGCAGUAGCUGCAUCUUUUCCAUCUCCAUUGAUCUAUUAGCGUCUGUGUUCCACGAGAUACUCCUGAAUCACUGCAGUAUGUGGUCUUCCUGGCCUUUCCUGGUGGCUCAGCAGAAAAGAAUCCAUGCAACGCAGGAGUUGCUGGAGAUGCAGUUUCAAUCCCUGGGUUGGGAAGAUCCCCUGGAAGAGGGUAUGGCAACCCACUCCAGUAUUCUUUCCUGGAGAAUCCCACAGACUGAGACUAGUUGGCUACAGUCCAUGGGGUCGCAAAGAGCUGGACACAGAUCCUUUCCUCUAGGGUGGAAGAUGAAUCCUUCACAAAAAAGCAAUAAAGAUUUUAUGCAGGAAAAUAAAAGAAAAUUUGGAAUGCAAGAUUAUAUACAAAAUUAUAAAAUAAAUCUUUGACCAUAUAAGGAUUUUGCAAAUCUGUUGAACAUGAGGCCAAGGAGGUAAACUGAGAAGAAGAUGGGGAUUAAAUCCCCUAAAAUGGACUCACUAGAGGGCUCUCAAAUCUGUAUCCCUUGGAGAAGUCACAAGCUGAGACAGAUGUGCUGCUGCCUGGAAUUGUUGUGGCCUCACAUCUCCUCCCUACUCUAAUUAACACCUGCUUUGAACCUGCCUAUUGGAACUCAGGGAUUGUGUGGAGGCCGAAUGAAGCCUAUUUCCUGUAAUCGAAGAAAUGGGGACCCAGGAAGGUUUUUGUGCCCAGGAGCCCCACAGGGGCCUUCUCAGUAUCAAGCCUAAUACUGGCAUGUAAAACUCUCUUGUUCUCCCCUAUAAGCUCCUCCUCCCAAUCCAGAUGUCCUUUUUGCCAUAGUGAGAAAGUUUUCUUUUAAAUCAAGGGAUUCUUCCAGACUUAGUGGUUCAUAUUGUAAAUUCUGUGUCCUUUAUCUCUGUAUCAGCCUAUAGCUUUUAAUGUUUCAAAAGAAGUUUUUAAAAUGAUAAAUAAAUU